rnacentral:lncRNA from 1 species
CCCGCAGUCCCAGCCACAGAACCAGGUGGGCCUCAGAGUGAUCCUAGGUUUCUCUAACCCCAUGUGCACCGUUUACCUAAAGAAAACAACGCUAGGACGCAGCGCAAUCAACAAGAUGUGCAGCGUUUGCGCCCGGAGCGCACACCUCGCAGGAGACGUGGGCGUGAAGGAACCACUGGGUUUUGGGAGCUAGAGAGUUCUGGGGGUAGAGUCUAUGGGCCUCCGUCUUCUAGCUCUGUGACCUUGGGCAAGUCACGGAGUCUCCCGGAGCCUCCAGCAACGACCGCUGCUGGAGCCUCCUGUUCCCCACCCCCAUACCCUAAUCGGGUUUAACUAAACAGAGGGUUGCCUUGAAGGAGAAAGGAAAUGACGGACGCGCACCAUGUGCACAAGGAGAAUGGUUAGAAAAAGAAGAUCCUACUCUGCGUCGGGAGGAGAAUGAGAAGGGGAAAGACUCUGCUGUUCAUCACUCCGGGGAUAUCUGCAUGAAGCAGAGGGGUCCAGCCGUUCCCAUCCAGACUUCUGAAGGCCCGUGUCAUCACUUAUUCCCGGAACCUGGCUCCCAAGAAGGAACGUAUAACCAGCCUGUGGACCAUGAUGAGAGAGUACUCCCACCCUCCACCCCACAAGAGCACUUCACGUGGCAGCCCUCCUGUUCCUGGCGGCUCCUGAACAUGAGCUUGGCAAACACUUCAAGCCGGAAGACAUGUUACCCAGGAAAAGAAUUGCUUUCAGGGACUCAUUGUCAAUAAAUUGCUUCUGGAAUUCUAUUUACCUCUAUUUCCCCUUUUCACACAAAGAAAACAAGUCACAGAUGGCUUUGCAAAAUUCUCUGAAGGAAGUUGCCAAAGGUCUCUAACCUCCUAAGUUCCCGUUCUCUCUCUCGGUCCUGAAUCAUUCGGACCACGUGUCAC